GCCGAAGUGGCGGAAUAGGUAGACGCGACAGUCUCAAAAACUGUUGAAGGGUAACCUUCAUGUCGGUUCGAGCCCGACCUUCGGCACCA
rnacentral:tRNA from 1 species